AGUAAACGCUGGCGGUAGGCCUAACACAUGCAAGUCGAACGGCAGCACAGUAAGAGCUUGCUCUUACGGGUGGCGAGUGGCGGACGGGUGAGGAAUACAUCGGAAUCUACUUUUUCGUGGGGGAUAACGUAGGGAAACUUACGCUAAUACCGCAUACGACCUACGGGUGAAAGCAGGGGAUCUUCGGACCUUGCGCGAUUGAAUGAGCCGAUGUCGGAUUAGCUAGUUGGCGGGGUAAAGGCCCACCAAGGCGACGAUCCGUAGCUGGUCUGAGAGGAUGAUCAGCCACACUGGAACUGAGACACGUUCCAGGCUCCUACGGGAGGCAGCAGUGGGGAAUAUUGGACAAUGGGCGCGAGCCUGAUCCAGCCAUACCGCGUGGGUUAAGAAGGCCUUCGGGUUGUAAAGCCCUUUUGUUGGGAAAGAAAAGCAGCAGGUUAAUACCCCGCUGUUCUGACGGUACCCACAGAAUAAGCACCGGCUAACUUCGUG
rnacentral:rRNA from 1 species